UUUUGAUAAGUGAAACCUCUUGAAUGCAUAUUAUUUAAGGAAUAAUUGGAAGUAACUCAAGUGUUUAGAGUGAGUUUAAUAAAUUUAAACAAUCAAGAAAAUAUGAUACAUUAGACAACAUAUAGUUAUAUCAAUUACAUCAUAUUAAAGAACAUCAAAUUACACAUGAGUCACCUUUUAAGACUAUGAAAAUCAUCAAUU
rnacentral:lncRNA from 1 species